UACGUAGGGUGCGAGCGUUAAUCGGAAUUACUGGGCGUAAAGCGUGCGUAGGCGGUCUGUUAAGACAGGUGUGAAAUCCCCGGGCUUAACCUGGGAAUGGCGCUUGUUACUGGCAGACUAGAGUACGUCAGAGGGGGGUGGAAUUCCACGUGUAGCAGUGAAAUGCGUAGAGAUGUGGAGGAACACCGAUGGCGAAGGCAGCCCCCUGGGAUGAUACUGACGCUCAGGCACGAAAGCGUGGGGAGCAAACAGG
rnacentral:rRNA from 1 species